UACGAAGGGGGCUAGCGUUGCUCGGAAUCACUGGGCGUAAAGGGUGCGUAGGCGGGUCUUUAAGUCAGGGGUGAAAUCCUGGAGCUCAACUCCAGAACUGCCUUUGAUACUGAAGAUCUUGAGUCCGGGAGAGGUGAGUGGAACUGGCGAGUGUAGAGGUGAAAUUCGUAGAUAUUCGCAAGAACACCAGUGGCGAAGGCGGCUCACUGGCCCGGUACUGACGCUGAGGUGCGAAAGCGUGGGGAGCAAACAGG
rnacentral:rRNA from 1 species